AUUGAACGCUGGCGGCAGGCCUAACACAUGCAAGUCGAACGAGUGGCGGACGGGUGAGUAAUGCCUGGGAAACUGCCCGAUGGAGGGGGAUAACUACUGGAAACGGUAGCUAAUACCGCAUACCAUCGGAUGUGCCAAGAUGGGAUUAGCUUGUAGGGGAGUGAAAGGCCCACCAAGGCGACGAUCCGUAGCUGGUCUGAGAGGAUGAUCAGCCACACUGGAACUGAGACACGGUCCAGACUCCGCCGGUAGGCAGCAGUGGGGAAUAUUGGACAAUGGGCGCAAGCCUGAUCCAGCCAGACCGCGUGGGUGAAGAAGGCCUUCGGGUUUUAAAGCCCUUUUGUUGGGAAAGCGGUACCCAAAGAAUAAGCACCGGCUAACUUCGUGCCAGCAGCCGCGGUAAUUC
rnacentral:rRNA from 1 species